GUGUCCCGUGGUGGGGCGUCCUGGCGUGGUGCGGCGUGCCCGCGUGGUGAGGCGCGUGUUCGGGUGCGGCUCGCGGGCGCGGUGAGGAGAGCAGUGUCCUGAGGCGCCCCCGCGUUGUGGGGAAGCCAUCCUAGUGAGGCGCGCGUGCGCGGUGAGGCGCGCCCGCGUGGUGGGGCGUGCCGCGUGGUGGGGCGUGCCCGCGAGGUGAGAGGCGGCCCGGCGUGGUGAGAUGUGCCCGCGCGGUGGGACGCCCCGGCGUUGAGAGGCGUGCCCGCGUGGUGAGGUGCGCAUGCGCAGCGAGGCGCCCGGCGUGGAGAGGCGUGCCCGCGUGAUGAGGCGCAGCGUGCGCAGUGAGGUGUGCCCGCGUGGUGAGGCGCCGGCAUCGUGUGGACGGCCGUCCUAGUGAGACAUGCGUGCGCGGUGCGGCGUGCCCGCGCGGUGAGGCGUGCGUGUGAGGGGCGCUCUGUAAAGAUGCCCGUGGGCCGCGUCCUGAGGUGAGCAAGCGCGCUGUGAGGUGUGCCCGCGUGGUGAGGCGCCGGCAUCGAGGGGACGGCCGUCCUAGUGAGGCGCGCAUGCGCGGGGCGGCGUGCCCCCGUGGUGGGGCGUCCUGGCGUGGUGCGGCGUGCCCGCGUGGUGAGGCGCGUGUUCGGGUGCGGCUCGCGGGCGCGGUGAGGAGAGCAGUGUCCUGAGGCGCCCCCGAGUCGUGGGGAGGCCAUCCUAGUGAGGCGUGCCCGCGUGGUGGGGUGUGCCCGCGUGGUGGGGUGUGCCCGCGUGGUGAGGCGUGCCCGCGUGGUGAGAUGUGCCCGCGUGGUGGGGCGUGCCGCGUGGUGAGAUGUGCCCGCGUGGUGGGGCGUGCCGCGUGGUGAGGCGUGCCGCGUGGUGAGGCGUGCCGCGUGGUGAGGCGUGCCUGCACGGUGAGGCGCCCCGGCGUGGUGGGGCGUGCCCUCCUGGUGGGUGCGCGUGCGCAGUGAGGCAUGCCUGCGUGUUGAGGUGUGCCCGCGUGGUGAGGUGCCCCGGCGUGUGAGGCGCCCCGCGUGGUGAGGCGCGCGUGCGCACUGAGGCGCCCCGCGUUGUUGGGGCGGCCGUCCUGGGGUCUAACCUGCGACGCGCGGCGGAGCUGGUCUCUUCGCCCGCGCCCGGAGUCGUCGUUUCCUUCACAGAUGCCGGAGCGCGGGAGAUGACCCCGCCAGCCCCGACCUUGCCCGGCCCAGGCCUCGGCUCCGGCUGCUUCCCAGGAGCGGGGCCUGCGUGGUGGGCUGGGCAGGUCGCCGGCAGGGCCCCGCGGGGCCGAAUCACGGGCGAGGGAACGCGCGGCAGCGCCAGGCCUGCACUCCGCUCCGGGCGGCUCUCUCGGCCCUUCCCGCUCGGGAGCCGGAUCUUGCAGGAGGCCUGAUGAGUCGGCCUAGCGGACCCCGUCCGUGUCACCUGGUGCCCUCCCUCGUCGCCCACGGGCCCUCGUGCCGCCUGGCCGCCCCCAGCAAGACCGCCGUGGGUCAGGGGUCAGGAACGCCCGCCUCCCGGUGACGGCGGCCCACGGACCCCGCUGUCUGGGCCGGCAGCCGUGGCUCUGGGACGGCCCUCGGUGUCACAGGGGCCCGCGCGCGGCUCACGGACACCAUCUCCGCUGACUUCCGUGGAGGGGCGGCAGGCGUCCACGGUCUGCGCGCUCAGGGCAGGAGGCACAGGAGCGCGGCGCCGGAAGGGACCCGGCUCAGUCCGGUCCGCUGCUUGUGCCUCGCGGGGCGUCCUCACUGCCGGGGCCGGCGCGCUGGUUCUGACUGAGCCCCGUGUUGGUGAGCCGUGGAUCGUGGCAUCCAGAGCGCGGGGCUAAGGGCAGGAAGAGGGGCGUCCAGUCCUCGGUUCCAGGAAUGCCACCCAUCCGGGACAUGCUGCGGGAAUCUGAUGGGGAGACAGUGUAGUGCCCUGAGGCUUUUCCGGAAAUGGACGCCUACAUCAGCGCGGGGGCUGCCUGGAGCGCUUGGGUGGGGCCUGUGCACUUCAGAGCUUCCCGCCCCUGGGGUGGAGGUGGGGAGUUGCAGCAGGCUGCAGACCCCCAGAAACCGGGAGGAGAGAGCGCGGGCUGCUUAGGGCACUGCGGACCGAGGUGAGCGGUCCGAGCCGUGAGGGAGGGGCACAGGCUGCCCUGCCCUGUGGGUGCUGCCCACGGUGCCAGUUCAAGGCAGAGCAUUCAUUUCUUCCUUCUUGGUAAACCUGCGGCUUCUGCAGUUAUCCCAAGCAGAGUCACGAGUCCCCACACUUGCGGAACUCAGCUGCUGUAAACCUGUCUCUGCUUUUGUGGUUUUGGGAGGCUGUACUCCCCAGGCCAGUGGACUGCCCCACUGCCGGUUCACAGGUGCCCCUGCCGUGGAGAGAGAAGGUGAGGACAGCCCCGAUGCCAGUUUACAGGGCGGCUGCUGCUGGCGGGGACAGUGGCACUCAUGUGGGUGAUGCUGGCGCCUUAACCCCGGACAAGGGGUUGUGCCCUCUGGAGAAACGCCAAGCCCAUGCUGGGCAGCUCAGUGCGCGACAGAGCACCCGCCCUGACAGUUCCCCCUGGGCCUGCUCCUCCAGCAGACAGGUAGCGGCAGGAACUAGCAUCUGUCGAAUCCUGUUUUGUGUCCGGUGGAAGCCACCCUGUGGCCCAUGAUGUCAGUUAACCGCCUCGACAGCUCAGGAAGGUGGGUAUACGAUUCUCCACAGUUCACAGAUCACCCCAGACACGGCAGGGGAGCAGAGUCCCUUAGUUCACACGCGAGAAAAGCGAGCUGUCAGUCACUGGACCCCGGAGCAAAGCACCACUGAGCAUGAAGCUCAGGCAGCAGAUGUCCAUUUCUCGCGGGCUGGAGGCUGGGGUCUAAGACCAGGUGUCUGCUCCCUGCUGCCUUGCUCCUCUGGACAUGUGGCAGCUGCCUUGUCCCUGUGUUCCCUUAGUGGACAGAAGCAAGCUCUGGCCUCUCUUGGUCUUGUUAGGACAGUAAAUGCCGAAAUGAGUCCCGGUGUAACCCCACUCACCUUCUCCAGGCCCUGCCUCCAGGUGCUGUCACGUUGGCGGUUAGGGCUUCCCCAGAGGGAUUUGGAAGCACAGGCAGCUGGUAGCAGGGGCCAUCCCCACUCCCAUGCCUCUGGUGUGGCUGGCUGUGAGGAGAUGAGCAGUGCUGUGGGAGGAACUGAGAAGGGGGCAGGGAAGUGGGGCCACCAGGGCUGCGCCGGGGCCCCUGAGUGGCAACCUGACAUCUGGGAAAAGAUGAGGAGUGAGCAGAUGGUGUGCGGGAAGAAAGGUUUGGGUCUUUUUUUUAAUGGCGCAUGUAAGUGUAAGUUUGGUGCCAGUGUCCACGCACAUGUGGACGAAGAGACACAGAGGGAACGACUGGAUCAGACUGUCUUUGUUCACCCGUCUGCAGCGCUUGGCUCUCAGAGACGCAGUUUGCUGUGCAGGUGCAUCGUUUGUACCACAUGGCUCCCGGAGUCUCUUCCGUAUGUCAAUUGUCAGCAGUUCCUUGGCUGCGUCGUCAUAGGAUCGUACAAAAUACUGGCGUUAGUGCCCGCCUGUCUCCCUUGUCCUGUUCACUUGGUGGCUGGGCAGCCCCAGGGCACAUGCAGGAUUGCUGGGCACCGGAGAAUCCGUGUCUCUGCCUUCCCGUAAGCUGCCAGGACCCUAAGCCUUAUGACGUCUCGGGGUGACUGCGGUAAAGGCCGUUCCUGAAACUCCAGCAGGGAACACAAGCCCCCCCCCCCCCGCUCUCCCCCCAUAAGUGACCUCAUCACUGCCCUUCUCAGAGAAAAGUCAUUUACUUACUCAUCAGCGUUUCAGAGAUAAAAACUACGUGGAGCUGGACUUUUUGUCAAGGGAUUUGAGAAGAAAGAUUUCAAAAGAGCUAGGAAAAGAAAAGCCUUUAAUGACUCUAACAUUUAAAACCUAAACAAAGCAGCUGGGCACCAGUGGGAGUGAAAACUAAUUAGAAAUCAGAAUUACAUUUGCUUUAUCAACGCUAAAUAAAUACAGAGGAAAGCGAAGGUUGCUUCGUGAUUGGAUUUAAUUUAGUGGAAUAAUCUGAGUUCUCUGUCUUUGUAACUGUGGGGGAGUUUUUUUGAAGACUGUUCCCCAGGGUAGGUUUUCAGAGACUUGGUGAUGUGCUAAGUGUUGUGUAGACUGGGUUGGGGGUGUCAGGUCGUGGGUGGUCCAGAGCUCCCAGAAGCAGGCAGGACCCUGGCCUCAGCUGGGUCUGCAGGGGAUGCCUUCCCCGGCCCACUCCUCCUGUGGACAGCAUGAGACAGGUGUGUGGUCCCAGCGCGCCAUCUCCUCUGUCAGGAGCAGUGGGCCAGGGAGAAUGCCAUGGGCAAGGCAGCCUCUUCCAGGAGUCCAGAUGCCCCCUCCCCACUGCGCCUGUUGAGAGCGGGAAACCCCCCGAGUGAAAGGCACACGAAUCCACCUGGCUGCACCCUUUUCCUACCUUCUCUCAACCAAGUGUGCACAGAGCAGAAACCAUCUCCGUGUUAAACAAGACUGCUUGGAAAUUUAUUCCCAUUCCUAUAUGACUGUACCUUUCUUCUUAUUGUGGUUAAAAAUCCAUUACAAAACUUACCAUUUGUGAGUGUACAGUUCAGAAGCUUUAGCACAUCCAUAGUGUGGUGUAGUACAUAGAUCCCGCCUCACCCUGUCUCCCAGCUUAGUAUCAUACCAAAAACACACACCCCCUUGUCCUCCUCUCUCAACCCCCAGGAGCCACAGGCUCGCAUUCCGUUGCUAUCAGCUGGCCUAUGCUAGGGACCUAGUCCAUGUGGAGUGACACAAUGUUUGCUCCUAAAUCUGGCUCAUUUCACUGAGUGUAGCAUCUUCAAGGCUCCUGUGAUCUGUAGUAUUCCCAUUUCACAGACUAGGAAACUGAGGCUUACAUUAAAUAACUUUCCUAGGGCUGCAGAGAUAAUGAGGGCAGGGGAAGACUUCAGAUCCAGGAGACCACACUCCGAGGCGCUGCUUUCAGUCGCUGUUGACCAGCUGUGUCUCCCAGUGCGGUCCCAGGCCACCAGGUCAGAAUCAGUUUAAUGUAGAUUCGUGAACCCUAGUGCCGCCCCAUUCAGGGACAACCUUAGUACCUGUAACAAGUUCCCAGGUGAUUCUUAGGUAAGACUAAAGCUUGAGAACUACUUCCUUCUGUCCUGCUAAGCACGCAACUUGGAAAAGAUGGUGACGGAGAAAACCAAAACUCCAGUGGGAGUGAGUGCACUCAGAUCUGAGGUAGGUUUGAGUGAUGGUGGUGGUGGGGAUCAGGCCCCAAAGACUCCGCCCCCAGGAGGCCGCAGUGGGCACCCUGGGGCUGCGCUUGUCCUCCCUGUGAGGACACAGUUUUCGUCCCCUGCAGAGGGGACAGCCGUCGGGAGCCAGCUCAGGAGCAGGGAACAGGGAGCAGCCAUCGCCAGCCGGGAUCUGCUGCCCGACUUCCAGAGCCUGGAGCCCGGCAGGGCCCCAGACUCACGCUGACUUUGCCGUUGGACAUCCAGCAAUUUCAGGCAGAGAAUCAAAGGAGCAGUUUUCAAACUACAGGCCAGACUUCCACGUUGUCCCUGGAGUCGGGAGAAGGCCGUGGUGGUCGGAUCUGUGUCCUUGGGUGCUCUCCUGCAGGGCACUGUGUUGACACAG